CAGGAUUAGAUACCCUGGUAGUCCACGCUGUAAACGAUGUCGAUUUGGAGUUUGUUGCCUAGAGUGAUGGGCUCCGAAGCUAACGCGAUAAAUCGACCGCUGGGGAGUACGGCCGCAAGGUUAAAACUCAAAUGAAUUGACGGGGGCCCGCACAAGCGGUGGAGCAUGUGGUUUAAUUCGAUGCAACGCGAAGAACCUUACCUGGUCUUGACAUCCAUAGAAUUCUGCAGAGAUGUGGGAGUGCCUUCGGGAACUAUGAGACAGGUGCUGCAUGGCUGUCGUCAGCUCGUGUUGUGAAAUGUUGGGUUAAGUCCCGCAACGAGCGCAACCCUUAUUCUUUGUUGCCAGCGAUUUGGUCGGGAACUCAAAGGAGACUGCCGUUGAUAAAGCGGAGGAAGGUGGGGACGACGUCAAGUCAUCAUGGCCCUUACGACCAGGGCUACACACGUGCUACAAUGGCGUAUACAAAGGGAAGCGAAGGUGCGAGCUGGAGCGGAUCUCAUAAAGUACGUCUAAGUUCGGAUUGGAGUCUGCAACUCGACUCCAUGAAGUCGGAAUCGCUAGUAAUCGUAGAUCAGAAUGCUACGGUGAAUACGUUCCCGGGCCUUGUACACACCGCCCGUCACACCAUGGGAGUGGGUUGCACCAGAAGUAGAUAGCUUAACCGCGAGGGGGGCGUUUACCACGGUGUGAUUCAUGACUGGGGUGAAGUCGUAACAAGGUAACCA
rnacentral:rRNA from 1 species